CUUAACCACUCGGCCACGGGGCCAGCCCCACCAUCACUUUUUAAUAAGGAGAGAGAAAAAUUGUGGCAGUCAACUGUAUUACCAGUUUUAAUAGCAUUGUUUUGUUCACAUGAUCUUUAUUCAGUGGUGUUCUUUUAUCAAUGGCAGGGGAUGAUGAUUUUUCAUUUACUGUAGUGCCAAAAAUUUCUUCUAAAAAUAAAUUUAAAAUGUUCAAAUUGAGUCAAUUUAAAUGAACCCAUUAAAUGAAAAACAGGUAAUAUGUGGAUCUUGGCAAAAAUUGUGAAGGUUGUUCUGAAAUGACGGGUUUGGGGACCAUUGAUCUAGAAGUUUCUGAGACUGUUUGGAAUAAUUUCUUUUGGAGCGAGCAGGACCACAGUUCGUGUAGGCAAUAAGAGGUGCACAGAACCUAGAGGGGCCACAGGAAGUGGUUCCAGGAGCAGGUGGUUGUACCUGAAGCACCUAUCUGGGAAAGUGACCAGGAUGGUCCUUGCUGGAAGUUGGGGUUGGCACAAAUUAUAUACAUUCCUCAGACACAUGACUGCAACAAGUCAUUGGCGAUGUAAGCUUCAAGAUGAAAUCUCUGAUUUUACUUAUUUCAAAUUUUCCAUGUAAUAAUCACAAUAGGUACCAUUCAUUUAAUAUUUAAUAUGUCAGGUACUGUGGUAGGCAACCUCUAAGAUGACUCUCAAGGAUCUCCACCUCCUGGUAUUCAUGCCAUUGUGGAAUCUCCUCCCCUUGAGUGGGCUACAACUAGUGACUCCUUCCUAAUGAGAGUUCUGUGAGAGAGAGGAUUCUGAGAGGGAAUUCUGUGAAAAUGAUGGGAUGUCACUUUCCGGGUUAAUUUACAAAAAGACUGUGGCUACGAUUUGGUGCUCUUUCUCACCCUCUUGGAUGGCUUGCCCUGGGGAAAACCAGCUGCCAUGUUGUGAAAGCAGCUCCGUGGAGAGGCCCACAGGGCGAGGAACCGAGGCCUGCCAACAAUCACGUCUGUGAGCUUGGAAGAAGGACUCCUCUCCAUCCUCAAAUGACCCAUCCAGUUGAGCCUUUAGAUGAGCCCACGACCUUGACUGACAGCUUGACUACAACCUCAGGACAGACUUUGAACCAGAGUCAAGACCCAGAGCUGGAUCCCAGCCUCCCGCAGAGCAGCGAUUGUGUCUGGAACGCCUUCCUGCAGCCGGUCUUCGAUCCCAGUGGCACCUGGAGUGAUCAAAGAUACCAGAGCUCAUAUUUAUGGUGAAAAACUAGCUGCUUAGUUUCCCCAGAGCCCUAUCAAGCCAGGCAAUGAUUAUUAAAUGUCUUCCACAUUCUAGGCUGUGCUAAGUACCCAGGAUACAGCAGUGAAAUAGACAGACCUAGUCCCUACCCUCUUGAAGCUCAAAGGCCUGUUGAAUAAAGAUUGAUAACUGAGCUAUAUGAGGAGAGAAGCCCAGGGUGCCACGCAAACUUUUAUCAGAGACCCAAACUUCAUCUGGACGGUCAAGGAAGGCCUUCUGAGGAAGUGUCAUUGAAGCUCAAACCUGGAAGAUAAAGUCAAGAGACGGGGACGGAGGAGAAUUCCAGGUGGAGGGAUCAGUGUGUGUGAAGCCCAACGGUCAGCGUGGAAGACGACUCAGCGGGGUGAGAGGUGAGAUCAGGAAGGGAGGUAAGGGGCAGGAGCAUGCAGAGCCUGUCAGGGCAUCGAGGGAUUCAGAAUUCAUUUAGUAGCAAAGAAAGCUCCAGCAGGGAGUAAAGCUAGAGAGCGACAGGACCAGUUUUGAGUUUUAAGAUCAUUCUGGAGAACAGAUUGGAGAUUGGAGGCAGCAGGAGGAGAUUCAGGGCUAACAGUGAGUUGGAGGCUGAGCAGGAGUGCAGAGGAGAGCUGACCGUGGCCAGGACCCGCACAGUGGCCAUCGGAGCACAGAGAAGUGGAGAGACUGAAAUCUUUGCUCUGCAACUGCUCACAGCAGAAUUAACCGAGACUCAAGUUUUUGAUAAUAUUCUUGGAGAGAAUUAAAUAUGCAGAUUCCAUAAUUUCUGAAUGAUCUCAAGCUUUACACCAACCCUGAUGAAUAUAUACCCAAAUAUUGAAUAGUUGCUAAGCGAUUAAGCCAAAAUAAAUCUGCAUUUAAAUUGAGA